rnacentral:rRNA from 1 species
AGCGGAGGAAAAGAAAAUAACAAUGAUUCCCUCAGUAACGGCGAGCGAAGAGGGAUAAGCUCAAAUUUUAAAUCUGUUGGGUUCCACUUAACAGAGUUGUAUUUUGAAGAAACGUUUUCUGCAUCCAGGAUUAGCCUAAAUCCUUUGGGAUAAGGUAUCAUGGAGGGUGAGAAUCCCGUUCAUGGUUAAUCUUAAGGAAGCUCUACGAUACGUUUUCCAAGAGUCGAGUUGUUUGGGAUUGCAGCUCAAAAUGGGAGGUAAAUUUCUCCUAAGGCUAAAUAUUGGCGAGAGACCGAUAGCGAACAAGUACCGUGAGGGAAAGAUGAAAAGAACUUUGAAAAGAGAGUUAAACAGUACGUGAAAUUGUUGAAAGGGAAACGAUUGAAGUCAGUCAUACCAACGGGAAAUCAACCUUUUGAGCUCGGUCUCGUGGGUUUUGAAGAGUUUCAAAGCCUUCGGAUUCGCGGGAUUGGGAUCUCUUGGUGUACUUUUUCGUACGGUUAGUCAACAUCGGUUUUGAAUGUCAUAAAAUGACUGGAGGAAUGUAGCUUCGAUCUCGUAUUGAAGUGUUAUAGCCUUUGGUAGAUGUGAUGUUUGAGACCGAGGAUUGCAACGGAUACCCUUCAGGGCUAUUCGUCUGAUCUCUGAUACGUUGCCUUGAUGUUGAAAGCUUGCUUAUGAUGUUAGGGUAUUACGGUCAAAAGGUUAGAACGAAUUACAUUCGUNAAGGAUGUUGACGUAAUGACUUUAAACGACCCGUCUUG